AGAUACAUCGCUGUCUUGCUCAUCUCUUUCUGGGACAGCUUGUAACCACCUUUGAUGAAGAGUUUCGGAUUCUCUUUGCCCAUUCAGAGCCACUGGUUGUUGAAAAUGUUUUGGCAAAUAUGCAGCACUCUAGUGGAGAACCUGAAAGCUACUUCAACACAGAAAAGACCCACAUGUUUAACAGAGAAUAUCCAACUAUGGGCAUGGAAUGGGCUGGCCGUACUACAGAAGAUCAUAUGAAAUUGGGUUACAAAAUGUUACCUUUUAGGAGUGAAUCCAUCCACAGUGCAGCAGAAGCAAAUCCCUCUGUUCAGAGGAACAUGAACCUGCAUGCUGCCCAGCAAUAUAGAGGGGACCAUCAAUUUAUAGAGCAUGGAAGGCAAAUGAGAGAACCAAAUGAAACGGUUGGCUUCAAAAGACAUAGCUCUGGAAAUAUUCCUGAUUAUGAAUACAUGCCCCCUCAAAACCAUCCAACAAUAAAAGGUAAGCAGUUCGUGGAGGGAGCAAUUCCCCAUGGUGGACACUUUGCACAGGAACCAAGUAUUGACAAGGGAGCUGGAUUACAAUCUGGUUAUGACAUGUAUGGAAGGUUUAGAGGCCAAGGCCAACACACUGAUCAGUUUUCAGGGCCUGGCUUCCCUCCUGAGGGAGAUGAGGAUGAACCACCUGGAGCUUAUGACCAUAUUCAAAGAUACUUGCAGUCUCACCCUGCUAUGGAGGAAGGACAUGGUCCACGUAAUGUAUUACCACCUGUGCAGUCCAAUCUCAAGAGACAUAGCGCGGGACAGUCUUAUACAUGUCAGACCUCCCCAACACAACCAAACUCACCAGAACAGAAAAGUUUCUUCAAUGUAAACCGCAAAGCACAGAAUGUGAGUCAAAAGCAAGGCAUGCGGGACUGGAGGAUCAGCUCAUACCUUAGUGCAUAUAAUGAUGCAGGAGAGCUGGAUUUAGCUGAACUUGAAGGAUCCACUGCAUGUGAUGACAUUCCAUGUUUUACACAGGAAGCUCCUUGUGGCCCCAUACGUCCUGAAAUUAGACUAGGAAAUAGAGAGUUUAACAGGAUA
ensembl:lncRNA